rnacentral:rRNA from 1 species
UUGUGGUGGGGGGGAAAAAUCAUUUCACACGGCGCCCUCCCGCUUAAUGAAAAGUCCCCCCAGGGGGUUGCCCAGUCACGACUCCGUAGGUGAACCUGCGGAAGGAUCAUUACCACACCAAAAAACACCCCACGUGAAUGUACUCUUUAUGAGGCUUUGCGCUGCCCUUGUGGCAGCUAGCCGAAGGUUUCGCAAGAAGCCGAUGUCAAUUUGAAUCCUUUUUAAAAUACGACUGAUCAAAACUGCAGAUAGAAAUAUCUGCAUGCAAUUGAAAUACAACUUUCAACAGUGGAUGUCUAGGCUCGCACACCGAUGAAGAACGCUGCGAACUGCGAUACGUAAUGCGAAUUGCAGAAUUCAGUGAGUCAUCAAAAUUUUGAACGCAUAUUGCACUUCCGGGUUAGUCCUGGGAGUAUGUUUGUAUCAGUGUCCGUGAACACAAACUUGUUUCAUUUCUUGAUUGGGAUGGAGCAGACUGUGAAGGUCUUGUAAUUACAAGUCCUUUUAAACGACGGUACCUAUGCGUCCUAGUGAGAUGUAUUAUUUAAAGGUAUGCCUGCGCUCCUUUCGAAAGUCUUGUGUGGCGGCACACAGCACUCAAAGAGAGAGCAAAUCGCGGUAGUUUUGCUUGUACUUCGGUACGAGUGGACACAUAUUGCUUUUUGUGAUUUCUGCGAGUCUGUUGUCAAAGUACAAGGCACGUAAGGAGAGUUGGUAUGCUGGUGCAUUUCUUGGCGUAUGGAGGCAAAUUGGGAAUUCAAUCCAAUUUGGACCUGAUAUCAAACAAGACUACCCGCUGAACUAAGCAAUCAAAAAGCG